UUUUUUUGAGAGUUUGAUCCUGGCUCAGGAUGAACGCUGGCGGCGUGCCUUAGGCAUGCAAGUCGAAUGGUCGCAAGACAAUGGCAGACGGGUGAGUAAUACGUAGGAAUCUACCCCUUAAUGGAUCAUAGCUCAUCGAAAGAUGGGGUAAUAGUCCAUAGUCUCAGGGUUCCACCCUGAGUAAAUCCGAAGCACGAAAUCCGAAAUCCGAAACAAUAUCAAAAUUAAAAUGACAAAAAUUCAAAAUAGGUUUUGAACAUUUGGAUUUUGAGAAUUAAAAUUUGUUUCGAGUUUCGAUAUUCGAAUUUCGAAUUUAUUUAGAGUGGAGCUUUGAGUAAAGAUCGUAACUGAUCGUUGAGGGAGGAGCCUACGUCCUAUCAGCUAGUAGGUAAGGUAAAAGCUUACCUAGGCUAUGACGGGUAGCUGGACUGAGAGGUCGGUCAGCCACAACUGCACUGAGAUACGGGCAGUACACCUACGGGUGGCAGCAACCAGGAAUAUUGCGCAAUGGACGAAAGUCUGACGCAGCGACGCCGCGUGGAGGAUGAAGGCCUUAGGGUCGUAAACUCCUUUUGCCCAGCCAUUCACGGCGGGGCGAAUAAGCCUCUACUAACUACGUGCCAGAAGUCUCGGUAAU
rnacentral:rRNA from 1 species